rnacentral:rRNA from 1 species
GGGUUGUGAGGUUAAGCGACUAAGCGUACACGGUGGAUGCCCUGGCAGUCAGAGGCGAUGAAGGACGUGCUAAUCUGCGAUAAGCGUCGGUAAGGUGAUAUGAACCGUUAUAACCGGCGAUUUCCGAAUGGGGAAACCCAGUGUGUUUCGACACACUAUCAUUAACUGAAUCCAUAGGUUAAUGAGGCGAACCGGGGGAACUGAAACAUCUAAGUACCCCGAGGAAAAGAAAUCAACCGAGAUUCCCCCAGUAGCGGCGAGCGAACGGGGAGCAGCCCAGAGCCUGAAUCAGUGUGUGUGUUAGUGGAAGCGUCUGGAAAGGCGCGCGAUACAGGGUGACAGCCCCGUACACAAAAAUGCACAUGCUGUGAGCUCGAUGAGUAGGGCGGGACACGUGGUAUCCUGUCUGAAUAUGGGGGGACCAUCCUCCAAGGCUAAAUACUCCUGACUGACCGAUAGUGAACCAGUACCGUGAGGGAAAGGCGAAAAGAACCCCGGCGAGGGGAGUGAAAAAGAACCUGAAACCGUGUACGUACAAGCAGUGGGAGCACGCUUCGGCGUGUGACUGCGUACCUUUUGUAUAAUGGGUCAGCGACUUAUAUUCUGUAGCAAGGUUAACCGAAUAGGGGAGCCGAAGGGAAACCGAGUCUUAACUGGGCGUUAAGUUGCAGGGUAUAGACCCGAAACCCGGUGAUCUAGCCAUGGGCAGGUUGAAGGUUGGGUAACACUAACUGGAGGACCGAACCGACUAAUGUUGAAAAAUUAGCGGAUGACUUGUGGCUGGGGGUGAAAGGCCAAUCAAACCGGGAGAUAGCUGGUUCUCCCCGAAAGCUAUUUAGGUAGCGCCUCGUGAAUUCAUCUCCGGGGGUAGAGCACUGUUUCGGCAAGGGGGUCAUCCCGACUUACCAACCCGAUGCAAACUGCGAAUACCGGAGAAUGUUAUCACGGGAGACACACGGCGGGUGCUAACGUCCGUCGUGAAGAGGGAAACAACCCAGACCGCCAGCUAAGGUCCCAAAGUCAUGGUUAAGUGGGAAACGAUGUGGGAAGGCCCAGACAGCCAGGAUGUUGGCUUAGAAGCAGCCAUCAUUUAAAGAAAGCGUAAUAGCUCACUGGUCGAGUCGGCCUGCGCGGAAGAUGUAACGGGGCUAAACCAUGCACCGAAGCUGCGGCAGCGACACUAUGUGUUGUUGGGUAGGGGAGCGUUCUGUAAGCCUGUGAAGGUGUACUGUGAGGUAUGCUGGAGGUAUCAGAAGUGCGAAUGCUGACAUAAGUAACGAUAAAGCGGGUGAAAAGCCCGCUCGCCGGAAGACCAAGGGUUCCUGUCCAACGUUAAUCGGGGCAGGGUGAGUCGACCCCUAAGGCGAGGCCGAAAGGCGUAGUCGAUGGGAAACAGGUUAAUAUUCCUGUACUUGGUGUUACUGCGAAGGGGGGACGGAGAAGGCUAUGUUGGCCGGGCGACGGUUGUCCCGGUUUAAGCGUGUAGGCUGGUUUUCCAGGCAAAUCCGGAAAAUCAAGGCUGAGGCGUGAUGACGAGGCACUACGGUGCUGAAGCAACAAAUGCCCUGCUUCCAGGAAAAGCCUCUAAGCAUCAGGUAACAUCAAAUCGUACCCCAAACCGACACAGGUGGUCAGGUAGAGAAUACCAAGGCGCUUGAGAGAACUCGGGUGAAGGAACUAGGCAAAAUGGUGCCGUAACUUCGGGAGAAGGCACGCUGAUAUGUAGGUGAGGUCCCUCGCGGAUGGAGCUGAAAUCAGUCGAAGAUACCAGCUGGCUGCAACUGUUUAUUAAAAACACAGCACUGUGCAAACACGAAAGUGGACGUAUACGGUGUGACGCCUGCCCGGUGCCGGAAGGUUAAUUGAUGGGGUCAGCGCAAGCGAAGCUCUUGAUCGAAGCCCCGGUAAACGGCGGCCGUAACUAUAACGGUCCUAAGGUAGCGAAAUUCCUUGUCGGGUAAGUUCCGACCUGCACGAAUGGCGUAAUGAUGGCCAGGCUGUCUCCACCCGAGACUCAGUGAAAUUGAACUCGCUGUGAAGAUGCAGUGUACCCGCGGCAAGACGGAAAGACCCCGUGAACCUUUACUAUAGCUUGACACUGAACAUUGAGCCUUGAUGUGUAGGAUAGGUGGGAGGCUU